AUCCUUUUGUAGUUCAUGAGCGUGAUGAUUGGGUGUUCAUACGCUUGUGUGAGAUGUGCCACCCUUGAACCUUGUUACGACGUGGGCACAUUACCCGUCUGACCUGAACUUCAAGGAUCGAUUUAACACUUGUAUUUGUGGGCUUGUUACUUAUGAUAACAGGUGGCCUAGUUUCAUGGCUUUGUGUUUACCGUUUUCGGGUGCCCUUUUUUCUGGCUGUAUGCUACACGCACGGGUGCUUUUCCGUUGUCCAACUGUGUAAUGUGUUUUUGUGUUUGUUCUUUUGUGAGUCGGAGUCUCGCGUUGUCGCCAGGCUGGAGUUGCAGUGUUGCGAUCUCGGCUCACUGCAACCCCCACCUCCGGUUUUCGAGAGAUUGUCCUACCUCAGCCUCCCGAGUAGCUGGGACUAUAGGCGCGCGCCACCACGCCCAGCUAAUUUUUGUAUAAAUAUUGGCAAGGAUGGUCUCGAUCUCUUGACCUCGUGAUGCGCCCGCCUCGGCCUCCCAAAGGGCUGGGAUUACAGGCGUGAGCCACCGCGCCUGGCCAAUGCAGAGCUUUUUAAUGGCUUUAAUUUUUUAGGUUUGGGAGAUACCUGCGCAGGUUUGUUACCUGGAUAUGUUGUGGGAUGCUGGGAUUUGGAGUGCAGCUUAGCCCGUUUUCAUUGCCCCCUCUAGUAGACCACAGUGUCUGUUGUUGCCACUUUUAUGUCCACGUGUUCCUAAUGUUUAGCUCCCACUUAUGAAUGAGAGCAUGCGGUAUUUGGUUUUCUGUUCAAUGCAAUACUUUAGCUGGUUUCUGGAGCUAGCGUUUUAAAGCCUGUAGCCACAAGCGUUUGAAAAUUCAAAUUCUAGCGUCAAGGUAGAAGCCCCCAGCUGGCGUCUGGGGCAGCCCUGAGGGAGGUGGGUCGUCGGGUUGGCGGAUCCGGCUUGGGCCCGCCCCGCCAGUGUCGGCGCCGGGUGCGCAGGGACAGCAGAGCGCUGUCUUGGGCAUGGGUCGCAGGCGGCGCCCGGAACGGGC
rnacentral:lncRNA from 1 species